UACGUAGGGGGCAAGCGUUGUCCGGAUUUAUUGGGCGUAAAGAGCGUGUAGGCGGUUAGGUAGGUCCGUUGUGAAAACUCGAGGCUCAACCUCGAGACGCCGAUGGAAACCAUCUAACUAGAGUCCGGAAGAGGAGAGUGGAAUUCCUGGUGUAGCGGUGAAAUGCGCAGAUAUCAGGAAGAACACCCGUGGCUAAGGCGGCUCUCUAGUACGGUACUGACGCUGAGACGCGAAAGCGUGGGGAACGAACAGG
rnacentral:rRNA from 1 species